CCCGGGAGGGGCUGUGGGGCUGCAGCUCCGGCGGUCCGGGCUCCUAGCCUGGCGAUUGCGGCUCGCUGGGAUGCUCCGGCGCGGGAAAAGCAUGGGCGACGCUGUGGGAGAGCGCGGUCGCCUCCGGCGCUACCCCAAGCUCCCAGUGUGGGUCGUGGAGGAUCACCAGGAGGUCCUGCCUUAUAUAUACCGGGCCAUUGGCUCAAAGCAUCUUCCUGCCAGUAACAUAAGUUUUGUGCAUUUUGAUUCACACCCAGACCUCCUUAUUCCUGUGAAUAUGCCAGCUGACACAGUGUUUGACAAGGAAACACUUUUCGGAGAAUUAAGUAUUGAGAAUUGGAUUAUGCCUGCAGUUUAUGCUGGCCAUUUUUCUCAUGUGCUGUGGCUUCAUCCCACAUGGGCUCAGCAAAUCAGAGAGGGCAAACAUCACUUUUUAGUAGGCAGAGACACUUCUACCACAACAAUCAGGGUUACAAGUACAGAUCAUUACUUUCUAAGUGAUGGUCUUUAUGUAACUGAAGACCAGCUAGAGAACCAAAAACCUUUACAAUUGGAUGUAAUUAUGGUAAAACCUUAUAAACCCUGUAACAAUCAAGAAGAAAAAGAUGCAGUGUCUUCUGCUAAGAAGCCAAAGCUAGCACUGGAAGAUGCAGAAAACACUGCCUCUACUAAGUGUGACUCUUAUUCAGAAGGACUGGAAAAGGACACAGUGACAGAGAGGAGGGACCAAACCUGCCUAGAGCAAUCAUGUUCAUGUUCUUCUGAAAGCCAAGAAUGUCAGACUACAGUCAGCACUGGGGAGAUUCUGGAAAUUUUGAAGAAAGGGGAUGCAUUUAUUUUAGAUAUUGACUUGGAUUUUUUUUCAGUCAAGAAUCCCUUCAAAGAAAUGUUCACUCAGGAAGAGUACAAAAUCUUACAAGAGUUGUACCAGUUUAAAAAACCUGGUACCAACCUGACAGAGGAAGAUUUGGUAGAUUGUGUUGAUACUCGAAUUCAUCAGUUAGAAGAUUUAGAAGCUGCUUUUGCUGAUUUAUGUGAUGGUGAUGAUGAAGAAACCGUACAGAAAUGGGCUUCCAACCCUGGAAUGGAAUCACUAAUUCCACUUGUACAGAGUUUGAAAAAACGGAUGGAAGUACCAGACUAUGAAAUGGUUCACCAGGCUGGUCUAACCUGUGAUUACUCAGAACUUCCUCACCACAUCAGCACAGAACAAGAAAUUGAGUAUCUUAUUCAGUCUGUAUAUUAUUUACUGAAAAAUUUACCAAAACCUACUCUUGUGACCAUUGCAAGGUCAAGUCUGGAUGAUUACUGUCCUUCUGAGCAAGUUGACACCAUUCAAGAAAAAGUCCUCAAUGUGCUAUGCUCCCUCUAUGGAGCUGUAGACAUUCAGCUGGUGUACUUAGCAGAAUGUUCUCCAUCUUGAAACAACAAAACACUAGUUCCAGCUGCACUCCUAGGAACCCAAACGUCGGUGCCAUCCUGUCCCUUUAUCGUCACUGGGGUUCAAAUGAAGUUACGGUGACUGAGGAGGUUUCUAUGAACCCGGAUUCUUAGGAGGGAGUUCUCUGAACGGCUCUCCUGCAAGCAAGGAUUCUGGGAUCAUGCUCCUUGCAUCUCUAGCUCUACCAUUCUGGACACGCGGCUCCCCGAGUUGUCCUGGAUGAUAUCUCCGUUCUAGCUAGCAGAAGGCUAGGAAGAUGGAGGGUCACAUGCAGAAGACUUCAGGUGUGAGGCCCAUCAUUUUCUAACUGCACUGAAAGCUGAGAAAUCACCCUGCUCUGUGCCCAAAAAGAGGAGGGAAAAGGUUUGGAAUCGGCAAGGACGUGGCUUAGAAUCGCCAACUGAGGGAAAGGGAAGCUUGUUCAUCUAUCCACUGGUUCCCGUUCCUCAUAUGUUGAAAGUUACCUCUGAGAGCCUGAUGGGCUGUUACUUUCCAGCCACCCUGGAGUGCCCACCCUUGCAUUAGCUACGGAAAUUCCUGUGGCGCCGCACGAUUCAGGAAGAGAAGCAGAAAGAUCCAGACACAAGGUAGGUGGUCAGAAGGUGCAGGAACUGCCCUCUACGGUGGCACAUAAAGUUGGUGGGACGUCCGCAACAUCUGCUACAAAAAGAAUUCAGAUGCCGGUUCUCCCUAUUUCUUCCAGACAAUGUAGAACAACAUAGGUUGUGUUGCCAAAGGUGUGGAGAACCAGCGCGCUCAUAUGGGUACAACCCCCAUGAAGGCAGUUUGAGAGUAGCUAUCAAUACUGAAGAUGCAUAUAUAUACUUUUUGAUCUAGGUUUAGGGAUUUCAGUUCUAGAAAUUGAUCCUGCAGAUAUUUGUGUACAGACUUUCAUACAAGGAUUUUCACUGUCACAGUCAAAGAUUGGGCAGAAGUCUCCUUAGCAGGACACGGGAAAUUCUUGUAUAUCCACACAGUGUCACCCUUAAGUAGAAGGAGGGUCCUCUCCUGGGCACUGAUACUGAACACUAUUGGGAGGGCACAGAAAAUAUAAAAUGAUUACCAGUGCCUACAGUAUACCUAUCAUAUUGUACACAUGGGGAAAGGAAAAGUGUGUGUAUUUCUCCAUGCUAUGGAUUUUAUUCUUCAUAUGACUUUUCUGUCAUUCCUAGGGAUUUGGGAUGUAGAUGGAGGCACCAGGGUAGUAUUAGUUCACCAAAUGAUAGACUGUGAAAACGAAUAUGAUGAAAAGUGGCAAAUAAUAACAGAACUCAACAAAGUGACUAGAUUGCAGCUAGACAUCCACACAUUGGUAGUUUUCCUGUCCGCCAGCGAUAGACAGAAAAUGUAAAGGAAGAAAUUCACAACAGAAACCUAAGUAUAAAACACCUAUGAAUAAACAUUAAAAUAUUCAUUCAAUAUUGUAUAAUAAAUAUACAAGAUCUCUACAGGAGAAAAGGUAAAUGUUAUAGUACAUAGAAGAAAACCUAAGUAAAUGGAGAAUAUUAUUAUUCAUAGAUAGGAAUCUCAAUAUUUUAUGAUGCCAAAUCUCUCCAAAUUUAUCCACAAAGACAGGGCAAUCCCCAAAAUAUCCCAAUAAUAUUUACUAUAUAGUUUGACAAGCUUAUUCAACAACUCAUAAGAAAGGCUAGAAGUGUAUGAAUAACCUACACAAUUAUGGGGGGGGCAAAUGAUCAAGAAUCUUAUAAAUGAAUGUUUAUUUUCCCUACUCAUU